ACGGCUCAGCCGGAGGUAG
rnacentral:snRNA from 1 species